CCUACGGGGUGCAGCAGUGGGGAAUAUUGGACAAUGGGCGAAAGCCUGAUCCAGCCAUGCCGCGUGUGUGAAGAAGGCCUUCGGGUUGUAAAGCACUUUCAGUGGGGAAGAAAGCCUUGGGGCUAAUACCCUCGAGGAAGGACAUCACCCACAGAAGAAGCACCGGCUAACUCCGUGCCAGCAGCCGCGGUAAUACGGAGGGUGCGAGCGUUAAUCGGAAUUACUGGGCGUAAAGCGCGCGUAGGCGGUCUGAUAAGCCGGUUGUGAAAGCCCCGGGCCCAACCUGGGAACGGCAUCCGGAACUGUCAGGCUAGAGUGCAGGAGAGGAAGGUAGAAUUCCCGGUGUAGCGGUGAAAUGCGUAGAGAUCGGGAGGAAUACCAGUGGCGAAGGCGGCCUUCUGGACUGACACUGACGCUGAGGUGCGAAAGCGUGGGUAGCAAACAGGAUUAGAUACCCGAGUAGUC
rnacentral:rRNA from 1 species